AUGGUCGCCGAGCUCCUGCCCGCCGGCGACGGCGACCGCGCCAGUCUACUCUGCUAUUGGUCAUAUGAUCGUGAAUGGGUGAAGAAAACUCUCCCCUUUCCCCUCAAAUGCCCUUGGUCUAGUGCCCGUACCUUCUCGCACCAAGGGAAGCUCUGGUGGUUGGAUCUUUCGCAAGGUCUUCUCUGCUGCGAUCCUUUUGCUAAAGAGACGGAGCUCCUCUUCGUGCCAUUCCCUGAUGAUAUAGAUACACACACUCGAGGCAGAGAUGUCGGCAACCGUCGCUGCGUAAAUCUGAGCAAUGGUGCGCUGUGGUUAGCGGAGAUGACUUACCACCGCCGUGCGCUGUUCGUUAAGAUGUGGAAGCUGGGCACUCAAGGGCAAUGGACUCCCGAUUACACAGUUAAGUUUGCGGAUAUCUGGGCUGACAGGAGCUACAAGGAAACUGGAAUACCGAAGAAGAAGCCGGCAUUGGUAGCCAUCAACCCUGAUGAUCCCGAGGUGCUUUACUUCUCUUUGGAGGGUAAUCUCCUCCAAGUUAACAUGUGUGCCAAAAGAGUUGAGCUGUGUGUGGCUUUCAGGCGCCCUACCACAGAUUUGAAAAUAGACCAGGGGUCCUCGCAGUUUAUUCUCACUUGGAAUCUUCCGACAUCGAUAGUUUCAUCAUCAGUAGGACGAAAGCAAGAAGAGCGGUCAUCGAGGGAUUCAGCUUUUGAUAUGAUUGCAGAUUCAUUCACCAAUGCAUGCGCUAGUGUGCUUGAUGAUAUGGAAUUUAAUCAGCUGGCUAUGACUGCAAUUGAAUACCUUAACCAGAGCCGAAAGGAAGAGAAGGUCAAGUUCAGAUUGUCUGAGCGUCUCUGCCAAUGUUAUUUUGACGAGGAGGAGGCUAGUACUUCCCACAGAAAGCAAUAUAUCCAUAUGAACUUCUAUGUUCACACGGAGUCUGAAAGGCUUCCGCAGCUUGUGUUUGCGGAGUUUGUCGAAGCUAAUAGGAACGAUGAUUGUUCCUGGGAUUUGUUGUCAUGCAAAACUAUAACCAAGAACAGUCCUGGCGUCCUGUAUAACACAAAUGUUGAUGUGGGACAGAAGAGGAAGAGAUCACUUCGUUGUUAUGCAUGCGAGGGUAAAAUGAAGCAUCCAAGCAGCGGAUUUUCAGCUGUGUCUCGUACUGAUGCUAGCUACGACUGA
rnacentral:rRNA from 1 species